AUGACUUUCAUCACCAUCUUCAUCUGGUUAUUGGCCAUCUGCUGUUUUAAAGAGUCCAGAGGUCAGGUGACUGUGACUCAGACUCCUGCAGUGAAAUCUGCUCUUCCAGGAGACACAGUCACUAUCAACUGUAAAACCAGCUCUGCCGUGCAGAGUGCUAAUUAUGUAGCCUGGUACCAACAGAAACCUGGAGAGGCUCCUAAACUCCUGAUUUAUGCUGCAAGUUACCGUCAGUCUGGAGUUCCAGAUCGUUUCAGUGGCAGUGUUGGUAGCAAUUUUGACUUCACUCUGACCAUCAGUAACAUCCAGACUGAAGAUGCAGGAGAUUAUUACUGUCUGAGUCUCCACUGGACCAGUGGCUAUGUGUUCACACAGUGA